rnacentral:lncRNA from 1 species
GAGGUGUGGAGACAAUUGAGACAUGGGCUAUAUCUGAGGCAAUCUAGAGACUUUUUGUUGUUGUUUUUGUUUUUCAAGACAGUUUCUCUAUAACUUUGGAGGCUGUCCUGGAACUUGCUCUGUAGACCAGGCUGGUCUCGAACUCACAGAGAUCCCCUACCUCUGCCUCCUGAGUGCUGGAAUUAAAGGCAUGGGCCACCAAUGCCCAGCCAAUCCAGAGCUUUUAUUGUUGUCACUUACCUGGCUCUGUGGUUAACCUGUGUUUUUCUGUUCUGCUCACAGUAGUUCCCUUGCACUGGGGCCUGGGUUUGGCUUUGGGGAGAUCAGUGUAGCUGAGGGAAUUGCCAGGAAGAGUGAUUCUCUUCCUGCUAGCUCUUCUACCCUCUACUCAAGCUCCAGAUCCCAACCCUGUCUUUGCUCUUUUCUUCUGGUCCCACCCUUCCAUCAUUACGGUGCCCUCUGACCCCUUUCAUCUCAGUGUAGCUCACUGCAGCCUCCUCCAUUUGUAAUUCUCCAUUUCCAGGUCCCAGCGACACCUCCAAUCCCAGACCAUUUCCUCCAGUCAAGGUGCAAGCCUCAGCCUGUUCCUAAGCUUAGAUGUGAGCACUGACUUCGAGUGCAUCUCUCCACUCAUAAACUGAGGGUGAUGAUGUGUUCCCAAGCACACACCCUGGGAAUCUUACCAAGCCCAGGAAGCCUCAUGCCCCUCCAGGAGCUCCCAGAGAGCAAAGGAGCUGUGCUGGAGAAGGGAAGCCCCUGAGCAUGGGGGGAGUGUGAGUAGCUGUCUGGAAGGAACCGAAUUACAAGGUAGGAGAGGGGCAGGGUAGAGUGUCUAGAGAAAC